ACAGCCUUAUCGUGUUGAAACACUAGUUCUCAUAUGAUCACCAAAGUUAAGCAAUGUUGAGCUUGGUCAGUACCUAGAUGGGUGACCACCUGAAAAUACCAGGUGCUGUAAG